rnacentral:rRNA from 1 species
ANNCAUGCAAGUCGAGCGGAGUGAUGGUGCUUGCGCUAUCACUUAACGGCGGACGGGUGAGUGAUGCUNANGAGUCUGCNUANUAGUGGGGGACANNNUUUCNAAGGGAAUGCUAAUACCGCAUACNUCCUACGGGAGAAAGCANGGGANCNUCGGACCUUGCNCUUGUAGAUGAACCUAAGUCGGAUUAACUAGUUGGUGGNGUAAAGGCCUACCCAGGCGACCAACUGUACCGGGUCUGAGAGGAAGANCCNNNACACUGGGACUGANACACAGCCCANACUCAUACNGGAGGCAGCAGUGGGGAAUAUUGGACGAUGGGCNCACGCCUGAUCGAGCCNUGCCNCGUGUGUGAAGAAGGCNUUAUGGUUGUAAAGCACUUUAAUCNAGGAGGAGGCAACUGGNGUUAAUACCUUCANAUAGUGGACGUUACUCGCAGAAUANNAACCGGCUAACUCUGUGCCGCCAGCCGCGGUAAUACAGAGGGUGCAGGCGUUAAUCGGAUUUACUGGGCGUAAAGCGCGCGUANGCGGCUAAUUAAGUCAAAUGUGAAAUCCCCGAGCUUAACUUGGGAAUUGCAUUCGAUACUGGUUAGCUAGAGUGUGGGAGAGGAUGGUAGAAUUCCAGGUGUAGCGGUGAAAUGCGUAGAGAUCUGGAGGAAUACCGAUGGCGAAGGCAGCCAUCUGGCCUAACA